CCGAGAUCAAAUUAGUACGUAAGCAAUAUCAGAGUUCGGUCCAAGUUUUUUAUUUCCGUAUUUUCACGGACUCGGAUCGGAUGAGUGUGUAACCGCUCU